rnacentral:rRNA from 1 species
AGAGCGAACGCUGGCGGCAGGCUUAACACAUGCAAGUCGAGCGGGCGUAGCAAUACGUCAGCGGCAGACGGGUGAGUAACGCGUGGGAACGUACCUUUGGUUCGGAACAACCCAGGGAAACUUGGGCUAAUACCGGAUAAGCCCUUACGGGGAAAGAUUUAUCGCCGAAAGAUCGGCCCGCGUCUGAUUAGCUAGUUGGUGAGGUAAUGGCUCACCAAGGCGACGAUCAGUAGCUGGUCUGAGAGGAUGAUCAGCCACAUUGGGACUGAGACACGGCCCAAACUCCUACGGGAGGCAGCAGUGGGGAAUAUUGGACAAUGGGCGCAAGCCUGAUCCAGCCAUGCCGCGUGAGUGAUGAAGGCCCUAGGGUUGUAAAGCUCUUUUGUGCGGGAAGAUAAUGACGGUACCGCAAGAAUAAGCCCGGCUAACUUCGUGCCAGCAGCCGC